CGGGGUGCAGCAGGCGCGAAAACUUUACAAUGCUGGCAACAGCGAUAAGGGGACCUCGAGUGCCAGGAUACAAUCUUGGCUGUCGUGAUGCCUAAAAAGCAUUACAUAGCAAGGGCCGGGCAAGACCGGUGCCAGCCGCCGCGGUAACACCGGCGGCUCGAGUGGUAACCGCUAUUAUUGGGUCUAAAGGGUCUGUAGCCGGCCGGAUAAGUCUCUUGGGAAAUCCAGCAGCUCAACUGUUGGGCUUCCAGGGGAUACUGUUCGGCUCGAGGCCGGGAGAGGUGAGAGGUACUUCAGGGGUAGGGGUGAAAUCUUGUAAUCCUUGAAGGACCACCAGUGGCGAAGGCGUCUCACCAGAACGGUCCUGACGGCAAGGGACGAAAGCUAGGGGCACGAACCGGAUUAGAUACCCGGGUAGUCCUAGCCGUAAACGAUACUCGCUAGGUGUCGGCCACGGUGCGACCGUGGUCGGUGCCGUAGGGAAGCCGUGAAGCGAGCCACCUGGGAAGUACGGCCGCAAGGCUGAAACUUAAAGGAAUCGGCGGGCGAGC
rnacentral:rRNA from 1 species